rnacentral:tRNA from 1 species
GCUACGUUGGCCGAGAGGCGAGGUUGCGCUCUGCAAAAGCGUGUACACUGGUUCAAAUCCAGUACGUAGCU